AUCAUCCAGACAUGUGACCUAUGGACUUCCCUUUGUCAUCCUAUGCCUGGAAUCAUACAUAAGGGGCUGGGAAGGCAAAGGGACGCCCAGUCGUCAUACAAGCU
rnacentral:pre_miRNA from 1 species